CUUUCCUCCUUGGAGUGUUUGAAGCUGUGGAUCUUUGAUCCGUGUAAUAUCUGUUCUUAUCAGUUUAAUAUCUGAUACGCGGAUCAUCAAUCCACAUUAUAUUAAAUUAAUUUUUAUUGGGGGAGGUCCCACCACAGUAGGCUGCUGUAGUUGUUAUGCGUCGCCCAUGCGUUGCACUACUGCACGGGCCUGGCGCACCCCUA